AACUAACAAGAUUCCCUCAGUAACGGCGAGUGAACAGGGAAAAGCCCAGCACCGAAGCCUGUGGUUGUUUGAUCACUAGGCAAUGUGGUGUUUAGGUCGAAUCUUGGAAAUGCUGCUCCUCCCCAAGUCCAACAAUGAGUACGGUAUUUCGGACAUGGCCCAAAGAGGGUGAAAGGCCCGUGGGGGAGGAGAUCAGGCAUGCCAGUGUUUCCUUGAUCAGACCUUGGAGUCGGGUUGUUUGUGAAUGCAGCCCAAAGUGGGUGGUAAACUCCAUCCAAGGCUAAAUACUUACACGAGUCCGAUAGCAAACAAGUACCGUGAGGGAAAGUUGAAAAGUACUUUGAAGAGAGAGUAAACAGUGCGUGAAACCGCUCAGAGGUAAACGGGUGGAGUUGAACUGCAAGCCCAGAGAAUUCAACUGGUGACUGUGAUAUAUGCUUGGAUAUUUUGGUUGGGCAUCGGGGUCUGCGUGACAGUAGGUCCUUUCCCUUUUGGGUUGGGAUGCGCGAUACACUUAUCAAGUGUUGUGCGCCCCUUUGUUCUCCGAACUGGUUGCCAGUGCACUUUCUCUGGGUGUUCACCACGACCGGCGCUGCUGCCUGACUGUUUUGGUUAAACCGGUUCGGCAUUGUCCUAACGGCCUUGCUGGAUAGGGAGGGCAGGUAGCCCGUUGGCUUGCUUGUAGUUCGCUGCAGGCGUUCGGCUCUCGGGUGUUACUAGCUGACCAUUGCGGUUCUGUGCGGUGUGUCGGAGACGGCGGCUUGUGGUGUGUGCAUGCGUGCCAGUUUGCUGGCGUAUUCGGGUUCGGUUGCACAGUUGUUUGUAAAAGCAGACCUGUAAAUAGCCCGGGUGCGUUCGGUGAGCGGUUGCGUGUGUGGCACUUAUUCCAGGGCCAAUAGUCUGUGGUGUAGUGGUAGACUAUCCACCUGACCCGUCUUGAAACACGGACCAAGGAGAGUAACAUGUGCGCGAGUCAUUGGGCGUAACGAAACCCACAGGCGAAGUGAAAGUAAAGGUCUGGCUUGUCCGGACUGAGGUGAGAUCCCGUCGUUUCCUACGCAUGGUACUACCAAGCAUCGAGCGGCGGGCGCAUCACCGGCCCGUCCCAUGACGUAGUCUCGGUUUUCGGAUCGUGCAUCGUCGGGGCGGAGCAUGAGCGUACAUGUUGAGACCCGAAAGAUGGUGAACUAUGCUUGCGCAGGUUGAAGCCAGAGGAAACUCUGGUGGAGGACCGCAGCGAUUCUGACGUGCAAAUCGAUCGUCAAAUGUGAGUAUAGGGGCGAAAGACUA
rnacentral:rRNA from 1 species